AAUAGAUACCCAGGUAGUCCACGCCGUAAACGAUGAGUGCUAAGUGUUAGAGGGCUUCCACCCUUUAGUGCUGCAGCUAACGCAUUAAGCACUCCGCCUGGGGAGUACGGCCGCAAGGCUGAAACUCAAAGGAAUUGACGGGGGCCCGCACAAGCGGUGGAGCAUGUGGUUUAAUUCGAAGCAACGCGAAGAACCUUACCAGGUCUUGACAUCCUUCGCUACCUCUAGAGAUAGAGGGUUCCCCUUCGGAGGACGGAGUGACAGGUGGUGCAUGGUUGUCGUCAGCUCGUGUCGUGAGAUGUUGGGUUAAGUCCCGCAACGAGCGCAACCCUUGACCUUAGUUGCCAGCAUUCAGUUGGGCACUCUAAGGUGACUGCCGGUGACAAACCGGAGGAAGGUGGGGAUGACGUCAAAUCAUCAUGCCCCUUAUGACCUGGGCUACACACGUGCUACAAUGGAUGGUACAAAGGGUCGCGAAACCGCGAGGUGGAGCUAAUCCCAAAAAACCAUUCUCAGUUCGGAUUGCAGGCUGCAACG
rnacentral:rRNA from 1 species